GUUAGAUCAGCUAAAAAGAAGGAAUAGGAAACCAUUUUAAGAAAACAUAGUUAAUAUCAGUGUUUUUCCAGACUCCCAUUGUUUUUUUUUUCAUUAAGCUAUCAUGUCAAAUAUUGGUAAAAUUGGGAUUGUGAAUGCACCCCAAGCACAACCGAGUCCUCGACACUGACAAACUACAAGACCCCGAAUGCAUUGCGAGAAGAUUGCGACAUAUGUACAUCUGAAAGUUAUUUACGACUUACCGUAUUGUGAUUUAUUUACAUCGCGAUACCCUGAUACAGAAAAUAUGUUCAACAAAAAACCACGAAGACAUUUAGGCAAAAGAAAGGAGAAUCGAGCGAUGAAGCUGAACAGAAGAACGGAGAGGGUGAUGCUGUAGGUGAAACACAACUUACCGCUGAUAGCAUAAAGCCCUUCAAGUCAGACUCGAGUGGUGCUGAAGACGUAGUGGAAGAUCACAGAAUUGAUCGAUCGCGGUUACGAGAUCGCCUCACAGCAAAGAGAACAAGGAUGGACGAAAUCAAAUUAACGUGCUCAGCUUCUCUGACGACAAAGUGGUGAUCCCGGACGCGAGGAGGAUCCAGGCAGCCAGGAGGCAGCGUCAGAAGGCCAGAGCCCAGAAGGACUACAUCUCCCUGGGCAGAGGCUGGGAGAGCCCCGGACCCCAGACCACUAGGACCUGAAGGAACACAGUGAUGAAGAAGAUGAUGAUGAUGAUGAUAAGCCAGAUGACCAUGAGCGAAGGAUCUAGUUUGCCCCACGGUCCAAAACCAUCAGGGAGAGGAUAGCAGAGAAGAUGGUGGAGGGAGUGAUGGUGAUGACAGUGGCUCUGAUGACCAGGAGAGAGAGGAGAAUAACCUGUGGGAGGAGCAACAGAUUGGGAAGCGAGUCAAGCGACACCCUGGGGAACAGGUAAGAUAUUCACCCCUCUACUUACUAAGUCGCACACAAACACACUUACUUUCUCUCUCUCACUCCGUCACUUCACCGUCUGUCCGUCCGUCCGUCCGUGAUGAAAUAUUCAUUCCUCACGACCCUAAGAAGUGAGUGACUCCACCAGUUAUCUCAACACUUAGAGGAUCUGUGAUUUAUUUAAGUAGUUACUGGAAUUCAUGUGUCAUACCAAGCUUGUCAUGCCGUAGCUUACAGUACUUUACCAUGCCGCCCUGGUGUUCUGGCGGGUUUUUAGAUGACAAAUCCUCUCCACAGAGGCGGUUCAGAGACCAGCAGUUCUGGACAGCCGUGAAGGUACAUAAAACAACACUCAGUUUAAAGAUAUUUUUCCACGAUGCAUUUUCUAAGAGAGGGUUUAUAGUGCACUGUGUUGACUGACCAUGUGGCAAGUGAGCCCGUAACAACAUCUACCAGUAAGGUCCAGUCGAGAGAUUGAGGGCUUUCGUCACAGCUCCUUGCGUGUUGCCUUGUGCAGCUAAUUCCCCUGCCUUUACUGCGUGGUCUCUCUUGCCAUUUCUGUGACAUCCAUUGCUUUAGUGGUGUUUCCAUCUUGCGUGUCAGCUCUUAGGUAACGUGGGCCGGUGGGGUGGUUUGAUACCUGAACACGCUCUAAAGGAGCUUGAUGUUGGACAAACUCCUGAACUGCUACCUGAAUGAUGACACUAUUCAUCGAGACCCCAUCUAGGACUCUGUCCAUAAAUGCAAAAAGGUCGCGGCGUGUUUUCCUCAGUCCUGGUUUAAAGACGUGAGCUCCUGUCCCUCUCACCUGAAGUCCUUCAGUGACCAUCUCCUCCAGACAGCCCAUUCAGUAUACAAACAACAGCCUGACCACCCCAACACACGGCCCGUGGUGAGCGACGUGCUAAAUUUUCUGGGAAGCAUCAAGGCCUGGGAUAAGGUAUUGACCAUAUCAGACAAAUACCAUUACAAAGACCUGGUGUCCUAGUGUGUCCUACUGUGUCAACCAUACAUCAUGUACUAUUUGUUGUAAUUUUGUACAUUACACAACUGUAUUUGUACUUAUUUUAUAUAUAUAUAAAUAAAUGUAGAUGUUUGGUCCAGUUCCCCUCCAAACUGUUUUUGUUUCUGUCUUACCUCUUUCAGAAAAAGUCUGUGCUUGUAACUUCAUCCCCAGGGCUGAGUAUGCAUCCAUCCUUCAAAAAAUGUUGUUGAAUAAGUCUUAGUGUGUACAUGAGGAGAAAACAACUUAUUUUACAGUAUGCAGUGGUAGUGGAGUUUUUUAUUGACGUGCGCACAUUGUAUGGUGGCCGGCAGAUGGCGCUAUUUUUCCUUUUAGGUCAUUUGUCUGCGUCCAACUGGAAUCUAUACAGCCGGCUAUACACUUGUAUCCCCCCAGCGCCCGGCUCGUACAUAAAACAUCCUACAUUCAGGGUGCAAGGGCAUCCAUUUCCUCAAUUUCAAUCAAAUUUCAAUUAAAUGUAUUUCUAAAGCCCUUCUUACAUCAGCUGAUGUCACAAAGUGCUGUACAGAAACCCAGCCUAAAACCCCAAACAGCAAGCAAUGCAGGUGUAGAAGCACA